GACGAACGCUGGCGGCGUGCUUAACACAUGCAAGUCGAACGGUGAAGCGCCUUCCUUUUUGGUGGGUGUGGAUGAGUGGCGAACGGGUGAGUAACACGUGAGUAACCUGCCCCCUUCUUCUGGAUAACCGCAUGAAAGUGUGGCUAAUACGGGAUAUUCUGGGUCUGUCGCAUGAUGGGUCUGGGAAAGAUAUUGUUUCGGUGGGGGAUGGGCUCGCGGCCUAUCAGCUUGUUGGUGGGGUGAUGGCCUACCAAGGCGGUGACGGGUAGCCGGCCUGAGAGGGUGGACGGUCACACUGGGAAUGAGACACGGCCCAGACUCCUACGGGAGGCAGCAGUGGGGAAUAUUGCACAAUGGGCGCAAGCCUGAUGCAGCGACGCCGCGUGAGGGAUGGAGGCCUUCGGGUUGCGAACCUCUUUCGCAAGUGAAGCAGGCCUGCCUCGUUUGUGGGUGGGUUGACGGUAGCUGGAUAAGAAGCGCCGGCUAACUACGUG
rnacentral:rRNA from 1 species